UCCACCACGUCCCAUUUCUCUCUAUCUCUCAUUUCUCUAUUCUCCCAUUUCUAUGUAUCGCAAAGUUCCGAAGAAUUGAUUAACAUCAUCGGGUAGAAAUUGUUACCUACCCGAUGAUGUUAAUGUAUAUGAUGAUGUAAAGUAAAACUUACAAGUCGAGUGAUUGUGAGGAUUCAUCCGAGGCCACUGUAAUUUACACCAUGCACACGGUAAUUGUAGGUGCGUGUCGAGGCGCGCUGCAGCGGGACCGGAAGUUGGAGAAGUCCCGUCCGGUUCCGGUAGCGCCUCUGGUGGUGGUCGGAUCGUCGGUGCCGUCUUCUUUUUCCUCAGGGUUUCUGUGAGCAGCCGGACCGCAUCUGCGCCACCGCCACCCUUGCGUCGUCUACCUUCCUUCGUAGUGGUGGCUGCUGCUGCUUCUGCUGCUGACUCCCGGUGGCGCCCGCUUCUCUCUAUCUCUCCCUGAUGUCUCUUCUUUGCUUGUUGCAGGCUUCCCGUUGGCGGCGACCUUCUCUCCUGCGAUGCACCUCUCUUCGCGUCACGGAACGGUCCCAAACUGUGGUUGGUUCCGUUGGCGCCUGGCUGCGAUCCGGUUCGGCCUGGCGGCGGCAGCAGCGACGUCGGUGGCAGCGGGGUGAAGGUGCGGAGGCGGCGGGCGGCGGCAGGCUGGUGGAGGAGAUGGAGAAGAGCGCGCGCGCCGCCGCCCCAGGACGACGCCGCGCACUACAUGCGGGAAUUAUUGAUCUCUGCCCAGCUGUGACUCGCACAGCGAAAACAUACGAUCAUUAUUAUACGCGUUUUUCACGGAUCCUCCUCUCUCUCUCUGCCACCCACAUCAGCAGCAUCAUCAUCAUCAACAUCAUCCCCGCACAAUCCUGCAAUUACCGCCACCGUCGAAUCACUGCACAUUGUACUUGUACAUCGAUUAAAAUACUACACCCAUACAACAACAUCAAAUUAACACUCGAAAAACAAUCCAGAUACUGCACACAUCCAUAUGAUGAGAAUACCAUACCUGUAGCCUUAAUUAACACAAAUUUACUCAAUGUUUCAGAUGGAGUAGAUUGUUGGAAUUGUAUCGAAUCUCGUCGUCGUGAGAGGAGGACGACUUGACUUUUACGACCACCUUCAUCAUCAAUUAUUCAUUGAUCACGCACCAACAACAACACCACCAAUUGCAGUGCUAUAGAACAGCGAUUAAAAUCCGGCUUCCAAGGAAUAUCGAGGAGGAGACGGCAAAAUCUAGUCUUUCCUUUUUUCCCCCUUUUUUUUAAAUCAAUUAUUCAUGUUUCCUUAGCACCGGUCACGCAACCCACUGCUGCGAGUAAACUACUAUCGACUCCUCAAAAAAAAAACAAAUAAAUUCAUUACAAACUGUUUGAUUAUGAAUAUCAAAUGGAAUAAUAUGUUUGUAGCUGAAACGCCCUCCAAUUAUAAUCUGCAAAGGCGGUGGUUAAUGGUUUGAUGAUGCUCUCACCUCCUCCUUUCAAUUCACCCCUUUUGCUGCAGUCGAGUGUUUCCCUCCCGUUGCUCCUUCAGUUGGUCAAUUCGUUGCGCUCUCUUUGUUUCGCACGAAUCGAGGCACAAGUACCUACGAGGGACGAAAAAAAAGGGCAAAGCUCAGGAUAAUUUGUUUCUUGGGUUUAAUGAAGACCGAAAAGAAGAGAAGGAAAGCAAGUUCAAGGGGAGAACUGUUAUCGAUCCCUGCUGGGAUUAGGAGGUGUCCUGUCAUCGCUAGCUUUGGGAGAUUCCGCGAGAACUCAAUAUCAUACGUGCUGAUUCCCUCCUCGAUCGUCGAAAUAUGUUUGAAGAGGAAUUCCUGGUUUGCACCGUUAAUACUUAUUACAAUUCCUUAAUCAACUUAAUGACUUAACAAGUUUAUGUCAGUCCAAGUUUGCCAAGUCCAAUAUCAGUUGGUUCAUUGGAAAAGCUAUAGAUUUAUCUUUUGAUUAGCAUGUACAAUUAUCUAAUUCCUCCAAU